CCUACGGGAGGCAGCAGUGGGGAAUAUUGGGCAAUGGGGGAAACCCUGACCCAGCGACGCCGCGUGAGGGAAGAAGGUUUUCGGAUUGUAAACCUCUGUUCUUGGUGAAGAGCGGAAGACGGUAACCAAGGAGGAAGCCCCGGCUAACUACGUGCCAGCAGCCGCGGUAAU
rnacentral:rRNA from 1 species